rnacentral:rRNA from 1 species
UACGUAGGGCGCAAGCGUUGUCCGGAAUUAUUGGGCGUAAAGAGCUCGUAGGCGGUCUGUCGCGUCUGUUGUGAAAACUCGAGGCUCAACCUCGGGCUUGCAGUGGAUACGGGCAGACUAGAGUGCGGUAGGGGAGACUGGAAUUCCUGGUGUAGCGGUGGAAUGCGCAGAUAUCAGGAGGAACACCGGUGGCGAAGGCGGAUCUCUGGGCCUGUUCUGACGCUGAGGCGCGAAAGCUAGGGGAGCGAACAGG